rnacentral:tRNA from 1 species
GGUUGUGGUUCAGUGGUAGAGUGCUUGCCUAGCACACAUAAGGCCCUGGGUUUGAUUCUCAGCACCA